UACGUAGGGGGCAAGCGUUGUCCGGAAUCAUUGGGCGUAAAGAGCGCGUAGGCGGUCCGGUAAGUCCGCUCUGAAAGUCCGGGGCUCAACCCCGGAACUGCACUGGAUACUGCCUUGCUAGAGUACUGGAGAGGGAACUGGAAUUUACGGUGUAGCAGUGAAAUGCGUAGAGAUCGUAAGGAAGGCCAGUGGCGAAGGCGAGUUCCUGGACAGUUACUGACGCUGAGGCACGAAGGCCAGGGGAGCAAACGGG
rnacentral:rRNA from 1 species